CACUUAUGGACAUACCAAUGACUCCUAAAAAUAACAGAGCAGUGAAAAAAAUGGCUGUCAACACUCAAAAAGAUAUCCCUGGAUGUUCUUAUGAAGAAAUUCCAUCCUUUGAAAAAGAACCAAAUUAUUAUUUUGAUCUUGAGGUCGAUGAGCCAUGCACAAAAGAUGAUGAUACUAAUCUUGGAAGAGGUCAACCUUUGGACAAAG